rnacentral:rRNA from 1 species
GAUGAACGCUGGCGGCGUGCCUAAUACAUGCAAGUCGAGCGAACGGACGAGAAGCUUGCUUCUCUGAUGUUAGCGGCGGACGGGUGAGUAACACGUGGAUAACCUACCUAUAAGACUGGGAUAACUUCGGGAAACCGGAGCUAAUACCGGAUAAUAUUUUGAACCGCAUGGUUCAAAAGUGAAAGACGGUCUUGCUGUCACUUAUAGAUGGAUCCGCGCUGCAUUAGCUAGUUGGUAAGGUAACGGCUUACCAAGGCGACGAUGCAUAGCCGACCUGAGAGGGUGAUCGGCCACACUGGAACUGAGACACGGUCCAGACUCCUACGGGAGGCAGCAGUAGGGAAUAUUCCGCAAUGGGCGAAAGCCUGACGGAGCAACGCCGCGUGAGUGAUGAAGGUCUUCGGAUCGUAAAACUCUGUUAUUAGGGAAGAACAUAUGUGUAAGUAACUGUGCACAUCUUGACGGUACCUAAUCAGAAAGCCACGGCUAACUACGUG